GCCAACAGCUAUAUCAGCCUGCAGUUCACCACUGGCAGCCCACUGAAGGUCAGCACGUAUGACCCUGGCCAGUACCUGGAUGGGAGACCUCCUGGGAAAACUAAGGCUGCAGCUGGAA
ensembl:rRNA 5S_rRNA 5S ribosomal RNA